GUGGGGAAUUUUGGACAAUGGGCGCAAGCCUGAUCCAGCAAUGCCGCGUGCAGGAAGAAGGCCUUCGGGUUGUAAACUGCUUUUGUACGGAACGAAAAGGCUCUGGCUAAUACCUGGAGCUCAUGACGGUACCGUAAGAAUAAGCACCGGCUAACUACGUGCCAGCAGCCGCGGUAAUACGUAGGGUGCGAGCGUUAAUCGGAAUUACUGGGCGUAAAGCGUGCGCAGGCGGUGCUGUAAGACAGGCGUGAAAUCCCCGGGCUCAACCUGGGAAUUGCGCUUGUGACUGCAGCGCUGGAGUGCGGCAGAGGGGGAUGGAAUUCCGCGUGUAGCAGUGAAAUGCGUAGAUAUGCGGAGGAACACCGAUGGCGAAGGCAAUCCCCUGGGCCUGCACUGACGCUCAUGCACGAAAGCGUGGGGAGCAAACAGGAUUAGAAACCCCUGUAGUCC
rnacentral:rRNA from 1 species